UCAUCUCAUCUCUUCUCUUCUCUUCUCUUUGGUUGCUAGGGUUACUGAACCAAUCGACUAGUAGGAUGUGGCGCCAAUGACCAAAAAUAUAUUAGAAUUUUUUUUUUUAAUCAGAAUAUAUACAAACUGUUUGGCUUCUAUUUGGGUUGUAAAAAGAAGAUAGAAAGUUGUAAAUCGAAUAGCCUAGAAGAGAAGGGAGAAGGGGGGUUCGAAAGGGAGACUGGUGUUCCAGCGGCAUGAGAUUUCGAAGGGGAACGAUCGAUGGUGGCGUGAUCAACGGUUCAGCGAGAUUGGUUCGACAACAGCAAUACUCGACGAUUCGAAACUGGUUCGAUGGAUCAACGGUUUGACGACGAGACUGCUUCUUCUCUUCUCUUCGGUCUGGAAAAAAUCUCAGGUUGAGGAUCUUGCUCGGUUAUCGUUCAUACAACUCCUGUCUAUAUUGAUGUGGAUGAUGGGCGGAAGAAGGUAAAUUAAUCAUUGGAAUUUAUUCAUAUAGAGUCCAUUUUUUUAUUUACUUUUCUUUAGGUAUGGAUACAUUUUCAUAUAAUCUACAAAUCAAAGUAGUCAUUGCUCCACUAAAAAAUCCAAAAUACACAAAAAGCCAAUAUUAAUUCUCUUUCUUUCUUGUGCUUAACCCCAGCAAGUUGCACAAGACAGUUUUAGAGCUUUCUGUACCAUCCCAGUUGGUAUGAUCUUUCUACAAAUGUUGUUGAGGACCUUUGUUUUUUUUUAUUUGGACAUAUAAUUCUCAGAAAUUUGCAACAUUAGAGAUGCCUAUGUUUCUUUGUUGAAUUGGCGAAGAAGCAUGCUACUGUUAGUUGGGAGUGGCCCGUUGCUGCUGUGAAUUUUGGGGCACCAAAAACAACACCAAAAUCAGCACAAAAAACAGCACCAAAAUUAGCAUGAAAAAUAGCUCUGCAGCACCCCAAAACAGCACCAAAAUCAGCUCUAUAGCAGCAACAACACUCAGCAACAACUAACAGUUAGUAGGGUGAAAAAUCCAAAACACAUAUACAAAGGUCUUUCCACCCUGCACAUCCUUCACUCUAAUCCUAAUAAAACUUAAAAUUAUUUUAAGAGCCUAUAAAUCCAAGUACUUCUUGGUUUAAUUCUUUAUAUAAAACAUAUUCUCGCGAGCAUUAAGAUUUCCACAAUCACGCAACACAUCAUCGUGGUUUGUGGUGUUAUAAAAUGUGGAUUUCAAGGCACCCAAAUAGAUCCAAAGAUAUCAAAUUUAGCACAAAUCAGUAAAUGCACUACUCCUAGAAUAUAUAUAUAUAUAUAUAUAUAGUACACCAAAAUUAGCACACACAAUUGUAUCGGCUAAAAAGCAUUGCCGGCAGUUUUUUUCAGGGCAGAUCAGCUCUUUAUCUAUUACAUCAUUCAAACCACAAAAGAAAUAACUCCAUCUGUUACAUCAUAUCACACUUCCCACCUUGGGGCAACAGACCACUCAUCAGAAAAUGAUCCAUGAAAUUAUCCCUAAACCUUGAACAUUUUCUUUGAACCAUCUAAUUUAGGUACCAAACCAUAACAAGAACUAAAUAUUGAAGAAGAACAAAUGGAAUGUUACUUAUCAAAUAGAAAAGCAUAUGAAUAAAUAAAUAGGAAUGCCAGUUGCAUGAUAUGAUGAUUAGUAGUAACUGCACCUGGAAAAAUAGUAUUUGUGCCACCAGUCAAAAUUUGAAAUGCAAGAGCUAUUAAUGACUGUUUAAUUGGGGAAGCAGAACUAGCUCAAUAUUUUUUGGCUAUCCUCAACAUGAGUGAUGAAUACAAGCAAUGGUCAAAAUUGUCUACCACUGCGAGUGAAAAAUUAUCAGAUGACAAAGUCAAAACUUCAAUUAACUUUGAGUUGGACAAGAGAUGGAAGCAGUAUGCUCCAGAUCACACACAGGUAUUGGGGAGGGAGUCUGUGCACUCUAAGGCAGUUGAGAAGAAGCAAGACUCUACAAAUCAGGUUUGGAGCAACAAACCUGGAGCUCAAGGCUAAACCUGCAUCUUCUUUUGAAUACCGUGUCAUUUUGAUGAUUGAUAGUGCUUUUGUAGAGAUCUAUUUGGUUCGGUUCAUCUUUAUGGAUGAUUUAUUAUUUUCUAGACUAUAAUAAUCUUGCAGUAGUUUAUAUA